rnacentral:ribozyme from 1 species
ACAAUCUCCUAAAACAUCAACCACACCGAAACCAGAAAAACCAACAAAGCAACCAAAGUCACCCAGAAAACCAACUCCAUCAACACCACCAACAAGCUCAACAACAACAACUCAAAAGAGGAGGAGGAG